UGUUAAGUGAAGCUGUAGAUUCAAUGUAAGAAGGUGUUUCUCAUAGUUUCUGGUGCUAAUCUCUGCUUGUUUUAAUGGUGUUUAUCAGGACCUGAGUCAAAAUUGCCUCCUUGGAACUGAACUGUUCAAUAGAAGGUCUCAGAGUCAAAGAAAAAGGUAGGUUAUUUAAGAUAUGCUGAUUUUUGCUGGUUAUCUGAAAGCGAUUGUGGGGUAAGAUACUUUGCCAAAGACUAACCGAGGGAUGUCUAAAAUUACACAGAAGAUGUUGGUGAAAUACAAUUAUUCGUUGAUGCUUUGGGCUGGCUGAGCAGCAUGAGAAUUGUAGUCCACAAACAACUGCAUUGCCAAAGUUAGCCAUAAAUGAAUGAACCGCAGGUCUUUUCUACACAUUCUUUUAACUUCAUCAUCUUUGGUGAUAUAGAACUAACUAUUUAUAAUUUCUGUCUUUUUAAUUUUAUUUUUGUGUUUCACACACAUAUGUGGUUUAUCAUAUAGCUGUAUCUGAGUUCAGCCAUGUGCUCUGUAACAUGUGAGGAUUUUGCCAGUUUAGGCAUGUGGUUUAGGUACAGAAAGCAUUACAAUGUAUUUCAUCACCUAAGCCACUAAAUGAGUAAAUUGAUCAAGACUUUAUCUUUCAAUGUGUACUGAAUGAGUUAGUGAAUGAAGUCUGUCUCUUUCUGGGUGUACAGAAUGAGUUAAUUGACCAGAACUGUCUCUUUCUGGGUGUACAGAAUGAGUUAAUUGACCAGAUCCGUCUCUUUCUGGGUGUACAGGAUGAGUUAAUUGACCAGAUCCGUCUCUUUCUGGGUGUACAGAAUGAGUUAAUGGUUUUGGGUCUGUCUUUUUCUGGUGUAAUGAAUGAGUUAAUGAUUUUGGAUCUGUCUCUCUCUCUGGAUAUACAGCAUGAGUUAAUGGUUUUGGUCUGUCUCUUUCUGGGUGUAAUAAAUGAGUUAAUGAAUCAGGUCUGUCUCUUUCUGGAUGUAAACAAUGUUUUAAUAAUUUAAAUAUUAUGCUGAUCUUUUAAUGUACACGGUCGCUAUGGAAACAUGGUGUACCAUUAAUAUAUUGGGUGAUCAAAAUCCUUAGCAAGCAACCCUGAGAAAGGUUUGGUCUUGAGAUCACCAAUGGCUGUACAUGAUUAGUACAUUUACCUUGAGUGCCCCGAUAAAAUCCUUGCUGGCAUAUAUAUAUUUAUAUAUAUAUAUAUAUAUAUAUAUAUAUAUAUAUAUAUUACUAAGCGGGUUUCAAGACUUAAUUAUUAAUAGUAUCAGUUGUCCAAUCUUGCAGAACUUGGUAUGAAAAUCUCUAAACUAUGAGAAAUCGUUUUCUUAGGCGUGAAAAUACCGCACUCAAUAACUUGUCAUGGUGUUCAAAAAGAAAUUCAGGGAUAAAGAACAGACAUGAAUUAAAGUUGACGUCUAGUGUUGCUGCUUAGCGGGAAAUUCCGAGGGAAGUUUUUUUUCUGAGUAUUGAAUGCACUGUGUUAUAUCGUAAUAUAGAGUUAAAGAAACAAGUGCUUUAUAUAAGUUUUCUACAAUGUAUUUUGUUCACCUGUUGCUUGGCAGCCAUAUCUGUAGGUUAACUUAUGAAAUAUUGAGCCCACCCCAUGCUUCCAAGCCUCUCAGAGCCAACGUCUUAAUGUAGGCAGAGAUAUUAAAUGACUUGCCUGAAACCUUAUUUAGGUUGCCUCUGGGGUGAGAUCUAAAUCGUGUUAUCCGUAAUAUAGUCCGAUUAGGAGUUGUGUGCUCAUCCCAGAGCUGGAUUUGUGCUACUGUGACGUAAUGGUGGGCUUAACACAAUAUGGCCAUAUGGUGGAACCGAAUCCCCAUAUUUAUUUACUAGGAUAGGUGAUUUUAAUUAGCCUUGUUAAAUGUAAAGAUGUAUUUUUGUUUCUGUGUGCCUUGUUAAAUGUAAAGAUGUAUUUUGUAUGUGUUUUGGUCUUUACGGCAGCACCACUGCUUGGAAAUGCGUUUUCUGGGUGUGCCCCCAAUUCCCAUUUUUUUUCUGGAUUUGACAAAAGGCAGAGUAGGCAGCUGCCUCCAGCCAUGUGACUAGAAGAGGCAUCUGAGCUAAACACAACCAUUUUUCACCUUUAAGAUUUAUAUAUAUACACACAUUUCAUAUUGCUGCACGGUAAUUGCUUUUUGUUUCUAUUUUCUGGAGUAAAGGAUCAAAUGGUAGAAUUCUGGAUUCUCUUGUGAGGCAACAGAGAACUAGAUUUGUGCAGGAGGUAGGGAUGCCUGCUAAUUAUAUGUCUGCGGGCAAUUAAGAUGUAAAUCCAGUCCUGGUUUUGCCAAGCACGCUGUGAUAAAAUCUCAGUUUUAAGAAAAUGCCAAAUUCACUAUAAUAAUUAUAUGAUAUGCAUGGGCGUAGAAUGUGUGUUGUUUCAGGAGUUGUGCAGUUAGAGCAGAGAUAGGCACUUAAGAUGUUUUUGGACUACAUCAACCAUAAUGCUCUUACAGCCGCAAUGCUGGCAAAACAUCAAGGGAGAUGUGGGUUAGAGUGUGAUUGAAGUUGGUUCCAAGCACUGGACAUCACCCUCUUAUAUUCAUGGGCUUAUUUCUACCCCCUUAUGCCAGCUUUAUUGGUCUCCUUACCUUAUUCCCAUGGCUAGAUUUAAAGGGAUACUAUAGUCACCAAAUCAACUAUAGCUUAAUGAAGCAGUUUUGGUCUAUAGAUCAUGCUCCUGCAGUCUUACUGCUUAAUUUUCUGUUAGUAGUUACAUCACUUUGUUUAUGCAGCCCUAGUCACACGUCCCUGCAUGUGACUUGCACAGCCUUCCUAAAUACUUCCUGUAAAGAGUAAUCUAAUGUUUACACUUCCUUUAUUGCAAACGCUGUUUAAUUUAGAUUUUCUUAUCUCCUGCUCUGUUAAUAGCUUGCUAGACUUUGCAGUUAAAGUAUGUAGUUAAAGUUCAAUUUAAGUUCAAUUUACAGAGUAGGAGAUACAAACUUUUAAAGUAGGUUAACAUCUGAUUGAAAAUGAAACCAUGUUGUUUUUAUACAGGAUAUGUCAAGCACAGCCAGGGUUGGUGUGGCUAGGGCUGCAUAAACUGAAACAAAGUGAUUUAACUUCUUAAUGGCAGAAAAUUGAGCAGUGAAACUUCAGAGGCAUGAUCUAUACACCAAAACUGCUCCAUUAAGUUCUUUGGUGAUUAUAGUGACCCUUUAAUCUUUUCACCCUCACCCUGUACUAUCCAUCUCUAUUACCUCCUCUACCAAUCUUUGAACCUUAAUAAUUUACAAACAUAUAUAUUUUAGGUUAUAUAACAGCUUUGAAUUUAUUGGUGUUAUCCCAUGUCUUUAGAACGUGGAGAUUCAGCAGGGGACCCCCCUAAUCCUCAUUCGCUCUGUGACAAAGCGAUGGAACAUAGCUCCGUAAUAAUGGUGUUUAUUUAAUCUAAAAAUAAAAUUCAAAACUGAAUUGCAAAAUCAAUGCUUAACCCCUUAAGGACCAAACUUCUGGAAUAAAAGGGAAUCAUGACAUGUCACACAUGUCAUGCGUCCUUAAGGGGUUAAAUAGACAAGAUGUGGCAAAAGCAGAGUUGGAUAAUUUUUUUUGAAAGAGCAUUUUUUUUGCCUAAAUUUUGCCAUUCAAUUUUCGGUGUGUGAUAUGUCUUGCAGUAAAUUCGCUUGUAAUCUAAUUUGAUAGAGUCCACAAAUGAUUUAUUAACUGCUUUAUAGGUUAUCUAUAGUAUCAAAGAAAACACUGAAUCCUAGUUACAUUGUGUGAGAAGUACAUGAAUUGUGUAAUGUUCUCUGAGGGUGAAUGGGUGGAACCAUGUGGCCUCUGACUCACACCACUGCUGCUUAGAAAGUAGUUGUCGGCGCAUGUGGAUGUUUGUGAUGUAACACAGCCGCAAGGAGUGUGAUUAAAAUAGCCUUUCAAAUAUAGGCCCACUCCACCAGUAUGUUAAUGCAGGGGUAUCUAAAAGGUAGAUAUAGCUCCAGCUGUGGCAGACCUACACCUGGUCAAGCAUUACAAGAGUUGCAGUUCUACUACAGGUUGGGAGCUACCACUGGGCAUCCCUGGGUUAUUUUAUGCACUAUCUCCCCUGGAUGUAGAGCUAAGCUGCACCCAAAGUGUAGAAUGUCCACGUUGCCAAGUGAGAUCAAACCUGGGGGGCAAUGACAGGCUGAGAGUGCUUAGUGUACAUUUUUUCUAUCCAACUGAUCUAAAAUGGUUUGACAAAUACAAACAAACAAACGAUAAUGUCCAUAGACUGACAGCACCAUAACCACUGCAAUUAGCCAUAAUGGUUAUGGUACUUCGAGUGCCCAUUUGAGAAAGCAAGUGCAGCUGAAGGAUCGUGUGUGGUGCUGAUAUGUAGAGCAGAAACAUAAAAACGUGAAGCUGUUUCUUGUAGAUAACAUCGUAUUUCAGACAGGAAGCUUACAGUACAGAAAGCACUUCUGAACAACAGGUUUGGGCACAAUAUGAAACGUCUGAUCAUAGAGUCUAUUUCAUAAUCUUUCCGUCAUUACGUUGAAGCAGAGUAUCCGGUGAUAAACAUGGUGCAUGGUAUAAUAGGCAAUUUCUGUAAAAGCCAAAGUUUAAAUAAUACAUAAUUAUGUUCUUUCAAAUGACAGAAUCCAUUUUCAAACAGAUGUCUCAUGAAUCAGUGCUGCAAAAUAUGUUUGUAUUUUGUAAAUGUUACUAAUCAUGAUGUGUGGAUAACUAAGUUAUGGAACAUAGAAUGCCUUAUAUAAUUUCAUAACGAUGAGUUUUACUGGCGAUCUGUCACAAGUGACUUGAGAAUAGAGUUUGUGGAGGAUGGUGUCAUAGGAGCCUACAAAUGCAGCCAUGUGCAUGUGCUAUUUCUCACGAAUCAUGAAGGUUUAGCCAUGCCUAGUCUUAAAACCCAAAGCAACUUUUGCAAGGAUAAGGUAAGUCCUAAGGAGUUUGAAAGUGCAACCAUGGCCAGGCCUAAGUCCCAAGCAUCUUGGAGAUGUAGAUGUGAAUAGGCCUCAAGGAAUUUGAAGGUCUAGCUGCAACUAGGCCUCAAACAUUGUAUUAUUAGCAAUGACUAGGCUUCAAGUAUGAAGAAGCCUGUAGGAGCAGCUAUGGCUAGGCUCCAAUUCUGAAGGGGCCUGUAGGAGCAGCAAUGGCUAAGCUCCAAGUCUGAAGGGGCCUGUAGGAGCAGCUAUGACAAGGCGCCAAGUCCGAAAGAGCAUGUAGGAGCAGCUGUGACUAGGCUCCAAGUCUGAAGGAGCCUGUAGGAGCAGCAAUGAAUAGGCUCCAAGUCUGAAGGAGCAUGUAGGAGCAGGUAUGACUAGGCUCCAAGUCUGAAGGAACCUGUAGGAGCAGCUAUGAGUAGGCUCCAAGUCUGAAGGAGCAUGUUGUAGCAGCUAUGAUUAGGCUCCAAGUCUGAAGAAGCAUGUAGGAGCAGCUAUGACUAGGCUCCAAGUCUGAAGGAACCUGUAGGAGCAGCUAUGAGAAGGCUCCAAGUCUGAAGGAGCAUGUAGUAGCAGCUAUGACUAGGCUCCAAGUCUGAAGGAGCAUGUAGGAGCAGCUAUGACUAGGCUCCAAGUCUGAGGAAGCCUGUAGGAGCAGCUAUGACUAGGCUCCAAGUCUGAGGAAGCCUGUAGGAGCAGCUAUGACUAUGCUCCAAGUCUGAUGGAGCCUGUAGGAGCAGCUACGACUAGGCUUCAAGUUUGAAGGAUCCUGUAGGAGCAACUAUGAGAAGGCUCCAAGUCUGAAGGAGCAUGUAGUAGCAGCUAUGACUAGGCUCCAAGUCUGAAGGAGCCCGUAGGAGCAGCUAUGACUAGGCUCCAAGUCUGAUGGAGCAUUUAGGAGCAGCUAUGACUAGGCUCCAAGUCUGAAGGGGCCUAUAUGGACUUCAGAUAUUUUGAUGUGAAUGUACCUCUAUAGCCGAUUAGUGAGAAAAAAAUUUAUUUGCUUUUGUGAUGUUUUGUUUAUAAGAAAUUAAAUCAUAAACAUUGUCUCAUACCACUAAAAUGACUGUUCUAAACACAGACAUAGCUGAAUCUUGGUCACAUUUUCAGUGAAAUAUUUAGAACAGAAAGACUGCGUUUGCCAAGACGUGCAUCACGAGGCCGCUGCUAGGAUUCUGUCGCAGGUGCUUCCUCCCGUAGAGUGAAUUAUUCUUGUAAGAACAGUCAUUAGGCUGUGAUCUAUCAAAAAAUGGUUCACAUGGGUAUAUUUAUCAGCUAAAUCAUAAUUAUUAUAUCUCUGGCUUGAUACUGGCUUAGAAUAGAAUUAACUGUAUUUUAAAUAUGUAAAAAGUAAAAAGAAGUGGGCGGAGGGAAACAUUAAAGAAGAUUAAAGACUGAAGCUCUGGUUUAUAAUCCAAACAGAUGGGACCCCUUUAAAUUGCACCCUUUGUCCUGGACCCCGCUUUCAUAGAUGCCUCCCCAGGUUUAAUUGCCCGAGGAUUUAAACCCUUCUGUAUUCAGGACAGAGUAUUUCAAACUCCACACUGUUUUAGCAAUCCUGUUUUUAUUUAGCUAAUGCUAGCUGCACUUUUCUUUAUUUUAUGAAUGCCCUGUGGCAUUUUACAAACUCAGUUCCCAUAUUCUAUUUUUUGGUUUUGUUUUGUGUGUGUUUACUGUCUGGAAUAAAUAAGUAGAACUUAGAGAUUCAUGCCUUAACCUCUCUUGUUCUUACCUCGGGUUCUUCAUUUAUCGGCACAGCUGCUGUGUAUUCCUGUCCCCGGGCUGGCCAUAGCACCUGUAACUGGGAGAUUUGAUUAUCUGAAAUGUGUUGGCUUUAUGUCUUUUUCUUCUUUUGGUUGCUCUUUAGUGACCCUCCAAGUAUUUACUCUACACCUUCUUUACUAAAACUCAAAAAUCUUAAAUCAUUUUAAAAGUUUUUCCAAUAAUAUUAAAUUGAGGCCAUAAUUGUUACAACCGCUAAUUCACCCCAUUUUGGGAAAACACUGUUCUGAGAAUAACCGGCCUACUUUCACUUUUUGGGGCACACUGGAAUUAAAUAAAAAAGUUUGAAAUCGGUGAAAAGGGGCAGACACGUAUGCAGAAAAUUAAGCUGUUUAGUUUUAGUUUCAGUGAGGCUAUAUGUAUCGAUUUACCUAAUCAUCUUGGCUUCCAAUAGCACUGGACUUACUCAUUACGUCAACAUCCUAAUUUUCUAGUGGAAACAGGCCCACCCAUAUUAAGCUGUGAAUGAGCAAAAGAAUAAGCCAAACCAGGACCAAUUAUAGAGCAGUUUCUACAUUUUCAGGAUAAAGUGCUCAUUCUGACAGUAUACAACAACUCCCUCCUCUCAAGUAAAAUGACAUUUCAAUGUGGAUUCACCUGAAUAAUUUUUUUUACGUUACCCAAUGUAGAUGGGAGUUUAGAUUGUUAAAUAAAUAAAAUGUACUUUGGUCUACCUCAUUUACACCUUAAUAUUUCAGAAAAACCUAGGACUCUCAGGAGCCAAUGAUUUACUCAACUGAGCUCCAUCCUUAGAUUGGUACUCUUCUUAAAUUCUUCCUUCUUCAACACACCCAUCUCAAGAUGCCGAAUAAACGUUUAAUGUUUAUUUUUAAUGUCCUGUGUUGUUUGUACGUAUUCUGAGCCUUUGAAUUACCAGACUCUGAUUUUAUAUUUUCUACUAUUUAUUUGGGACUUUCCAUCCAUCUCUAAAAUGGGAUGGAUGCUCCUUGCUGGCUUAAACCUACUUCUGAGCCAUCCACAGUUCACAUCUUCAAGCGAUUAACAUUCUAUUCCUAGAAUGUCAUGGGUGCAAAUACACCCAUAAAAAAAUAUAUUGGACUAAAGACUCACAUACAACAGUGAAGACCCCAUGAAUUCACAUCGCAGCCUCUUUCAAUUCAAAGGCUCACAUUUGAAGACCAUUAAUCCAGAUGGAUGCUAUAUCUUGUUAAAGGUUAUAACUGAUGGCAACUCUUAUAGUAUGGUAAACGUACAUUAGCUAAAUACUUCUAAUUCUGCAUUUUAGUACAAAUUACUAGAUUUUCGGGGGCGGGGCCGGGCCGCCAAGCAGCAUGGCAGCAAAACACCGUGGCUCCGAGCUUCAGCCCUAAACAACGGCAUAAAACUUGCUCACAACUUACCCCAGAGCCGGAUUACAUGCUGCAUUACAAUGGGGUACUACCCAAGCACCCAUAUGAUACCAGACUACGGCCAAAAAUUCACGGGGAACACCGAGACGGAUGAACCCGGCCUACACACCUGCAUAAGCCUGCAUGAGGACAGCUGCAGAUAGAGAACAGACGCCUGAUUGCAAGGCCCGAGAUACAAACACACCAGCUAUGCGGACACUGGGGGAGAUCUCCACGGGUGAGAGCGGCGGCCCCGCCCCCCCCCCCGGCCGGAGGGGGUAAUCCCGGCUACAUGGAGGCUGCACGCCCUGGGGUGGACGCAACCACCCGGGGUGCUCGCUGACCUCCUGCACAGGCACUGGCUGCCAAACUGCGGCCCGCCAGAUAUCUACACUCGAAAGACAGGGACGAUUAUUGCCUGCGCUACAGGAUUAACGCGCACCCUGAACUUAACGGCCUACAACAGUCCUGCCUUGCCAUCAGAAGCUGUCCUGGUGAUACAACACCCACGGAUGAAGUGGGGCCCCGGAGGCGAUGCACGUGGGUGGGGGAGCCAGGCGGGAUGCUGCUGCGGUGUCCUUGGGGCCCACUGGCCGGAUGCCGCGACCCUUGGACUAUGCCCUGCGAAGACCGAAGUGCCGUCACCUGUGGGUUUGAGGAGGACCUGCAGGCAACUGUCCCCGACGCUGUGAGCCCUCGUGGAGCGGAACGCGGCGGCCCCCGGCGGACCGGUGGCUGUGGGGAGGCUGGCGCCCGCCCCGAGUGGCCGGAGAAGGGUGAGACACAGGACGGCCUUCACCCUGACCAUCUGGGGCCCCAGUGGUGCAGUGGGGGUGCAGGGGAUUACUGACUGGCACACGGACUUUAGGCGGUGGGUCCUGUGGACUGAUGGGUCCCCGAGUGCCCGCUGUGCUGCAGAUCUCCCGGAUGGAGGCUUGGCGCGGCCUAGGGGGAUGCCGCGGAGGCCUGGCGCCCCUGGGAUCAGCCGCAAAGGCAUCUGCAGUCGGUUCCCCCCGCUCGGGGGGGUCGUAUCCGUGGCCCUUCAAUGCCUGUGGACUGAGUUGAUACACGCUGCUAAUGACAUGCAGCAGUAAAUGUUUUUUUUUGUUUUUGUUUUUUGUUUAUUCACCAUAUAAAGCUGUACAUUAUGCAGCAUCAUGUCCUUAUCUACGUUAUGCUCCUGUCUUAUGCUUGAUGAUCCUUGAGGACUGAAAAGCAUCAGUGAUAUGUUCAUGCUAUAAUGCUGCCUGUUUAAUAUAUUUUUCUAGUCUUGCUUACACUGCCCAUGCAGCAGUGCCUAUAUGAGCAUUCUUUACGGAACAACCUGCUUACAGUUUAACCGUUCAUUGUUUAUUUUCUAGAUGUGUUUGUAAUCACGCACGUACAGAUUUUGUGGGUCCUAUCUUGUGGGACAUCGAUUACCUCUUACCUGAGGGCACGAAUUAAAGACUUACAACAUACUACCCUGUUAAACGUAGGGAGAGGAAGUUAUACAGCAACCAAAUUAGCCCCUAAUCCCCCAUUACCUAAUCCUUGAAUGUCAUGUUAACAUCUCAGAGUGAAAUACUAACCCUUUCUCUGAUUUCCUAAUGACGGGCCCUUGUGUUAUACCAUAGUUUAAUCCCACCCUGCCAGCAUAUGGGGACUCACUAAUGGGUUGCUGCGUAUUGUUUAACCAAAUAAAGUUGAGAAUAGGCAUAAAACAUUAUUUAACUGGACCCGUUAUAAUUCAGCGUAGACAACAGUGCAAAUACCUCGGUUCAGAUUUCGCUAAACAUUGUAGCGCUAACAUAAGCUGACUGAAAAAUAAGAUGCCGAGAAUGAUCUCUUCUCGCCAAUGUUGGAACGGAUAUGCAAUAUGACUUUGUUUAACCUUAGUUAUGUUACUUGUGUUCACAUAAUCUAACCUUUCUGCCUUACUAGGCUUUGACUGUUCUCAUUCGAUAUAAAAUGCACUCUGUGGCAUAUGCCUAUGUCGAAAAGUUUACUAUGCUCAUUUGUCUCCCCUGCGUGGGAUGACUGCUUUUCUUAUGCACCAAUAAACUUAUUCAAAACAAAUUACUAGAUUUUCUUUGAAAUUGAGCUACUAAUUAUUGGUGGGGAUAAUAUGUGUUAUUGAAUACAAAGUUCACUGGUCAAAUCAACUCAGGACCCCAGACCUAGAGACAUCUUUCUGGUCUGAAACAAUGCUUUAGAACUCUAAACCUUCUAGACUCACAAGGCAUCUGGUGGACCUUUCUCUUGAAUCCUUAAAUUAGGAUUAUCUACCAAAACCUGGUAAAAACUCAACAAAAGUAGCUUCUUAUUGCCCAAUCUCACUCUGAUUUGGAUUUAAGAAAUAUUUUGGAUAUGCAAACUGUAGUGUUUUAACUAACAACAUCCUAAUAUAUCACUAAUUUAGUUUUGUGGAAGGGUGCCUUCUGGUAGAGGGAAUCAAGAGGGCAUUGACUGCACAACUAUGGAACAGCACCAGUCAACCAAAACUGCCUUAUUCAACUAUCCUCUUUGGUAGAGCCAAUCACUAUAAGGCACUUAGUUUUCCAAAGUUACUUGUAGCAUUUCAAGUACUUCCACAACUUUCUCCAUAUCUGAUAAGUGUACCAUUGACUGACACUUUCCUAAUUUUCUCUGGGAAGGUAGUGCUGCAAGGCAAAUUGCAUCAGACAAAAUCCAACACAAGAAUCUACCAAAUAUAAACAAAAAAAACCCGAAAAAGCCAAAUUUAGCCUUAAUACCCUAGUUGGAUAAUGUCUAAAUCAGGUGAUUUUUCAAAACUGGCUCUUUUAUUCUAAAUAUUACAGUUCAGCUCAUAGCAAUUCUUUAUUUAGUGAAUAACUCCUAACUCUUACUCCUACGCCCGUUUAUAUAUUUUAAUACCCGCGCAGUGCAGAGCGUUGAUUAGUCUGUGGUAGGGAAAAUAUAUCUUGUUUAUAGACAAAAUAUUUACAUAGACAGCAUCCUUUAUUUAGAUGUCCAUUAUGGGAUUUUACUCCACAUGUGUUUUAUUUUUCCAGGACUUUCCACAAUAGGAGGCAGCACGAAGCAAUAGUCUGUGUUUUCCAAAACUGUUAAUAAAAGCUAAAAAUUUUUUUUUGUUUUUUCUCUCACUCCUUCCAUUCAUAGAGUCUAUUAUCACACUAACCAUUAUAAACAACAUAAAUGUAAAAUUGUAAAAAAAAAAAAGGUUGGCUCGGCUAAUCCAAAUCUGUUCAAUUAUCCGUGUUAAAUGUGAAAUAAGUUGGCUCUUAUCAUACCCAUAUUGAAUGUUGGUAUUGUUGUAAUGGCCAGGAAUGGAGAUAAAUAAUGGAAUCUCUUAUAUAAUAUUAAAUCCUCGAGGUUAGAUACAGUUGGUAAGUUUCUUGUAGUUAUAAUUUCACAUAUAAUUUUAAAUAAACCUAUAUUAAGCGGUAUGCCUUAUACUUUCUCCUUUUGUACAUUGGACACAGUAACUCAACUGGCCAACUGAUUAGUUAAAGGGACAAUCUAAGUACCAUAACCACCACAGUUGGUUAUGGUGCUUUUACGCCGUGGAUACAGUCCUUAAAUUUUUUUUGUCACCAUGAGUUUUAGACGUUUGACCAAAAAAAAUUGAAAAUAAAAACAGGGAUCCCUGGUGCCCUAACCUCCCCUCAUCAGCCUCUGAUUUGGUAUGGCUACAUUUAAUUUCUUCACUAUCCAUUCAACUUUGUGGAUGGUGUAAAUAACAGGGGGCAUCAAAACAGUUAAAAGUGCAUAUAUACAUGCUCCUAUAAAGGAAAAAUGGAAGUAACCUACAAAAUAAAAAAAAUCACAAAAAUCUCAUAGUACAUACAAAUAGUUCACAUACUGCUCUCACUGACCAAUUUUAUGCUGUUUAGGCAUAAAUUAAUUUUGUUUAUAAAGCCCCAGCCUUACUUCCCCUGGCUGUGACUCAGUCAGCCUCCAUGAAAAAAAGGUUUAAUUUUCAAUCAAUUCGUACAGCACAGUGUGUUUACUUUAAAAAUGAUCUCCCGCUUUGUUAAUCGAACUUUAAUUACACACAUAGCAGUCUUUUGCAAACAGUUAAAGGAGCAGGCAAUUAAACAUACUGUGCAAUAAGGGUUGUUUAAAAAUUAGACUACAUUUUUCCAGAAUGAGUAUGGAGGCUGUGUGAGUCUCGGCCAGGGAAUGUGUUUAAACAAAGUUAUUUAACUACUAAAUGGCAGGAGCUUGGUCUAUACAACAAAACUGACUCAUUAAGCUAAAGUUGUGUUGGUGCUUAGUAUCCCUGUACAGUAAUUUGACAUACUGCCUGGGGAUGUGAUAUAUUAAUUGGUCUCUAAACCAAACCGCACAAACGUUUUACAGUAUACAGAUGAGUUUGAUGUUGCAACGUGCAAGGUAGUAAACUUGCUAAAAAUAUGAAAUUGAUACAUUACACUAAGGCUAUUUGUCCUGUGUCGCUGUGUCGAACUGUCGAUGUGUCGAAUGUAUUCCAAUAAGAAGUGCUAAGUUGUUGCUUAUAUUUAUUUAGUUUUUGAUACUUCUAUGUACAAAAUUAUCUAUAAAAAUUAGAAAAUGUUACUAGUCAAAAUAUAUGACCUAGGCUGCUCAGCACAUGAUAUAUACUAUGUAAUCAUAAGGUAGUGCAUCAUUUUUCUAUAUAAUUAUAAAUAUAUAGAGUACCAGCAAUUUUCAGACAUCUUACCAUUGAUUAGCACCAGUGACCCGGAAUUUCCUACAGUUAUAAAUUCUCAGGAAUUGAAAGUGCAUUCAGAGUUAAUUAAAAAAAAGUUUUAGAAAAAUUCUACAGGUCAACUUGUUUAAAAAAAAAAAAAAAAAAGUCUUUAUUUUUGCUGUGCAUAUUGUAACAGUAGAACUUACAAAGCAUGUAAACACAUAUAGGAUAGUUGAUAGAACUUGCACAUUUUUUUUAAAGGGUUAAUAAUCAGGAGUUAACUAUUGCAUGAGUAAGCUAUUUUGAAUUUGCUAAGAACUUAGUAGGUUAGACUGUGCUUUGUCAUGCUGCAGAAACAACAAAGAGGCAAACAGUGGUUUACUGUGAGUUAUAAUAGGUAUGAAGCUUAUAGCUAAACAGACUGACCCUUCCUGAGUACCUAUGCAGUAAUGCUGGGCUGGAUUUCUUAGAAAGCACUUCUAUAUAUCAAACAUAACAUCGCAGUCCGGUAUAUAAGAGUUUAGACUUGCGGGCAAACUGUGGAUGGCUGGUGGCGGUCUAAAACGGAGCAUAUGAAAAGAUGUAUACAUAAUCAUUGAGGCAUAUUGAUUAAAGGUGGGAAACAAAACCAGAAUGAGCCAAAUAAACAUAGUGAGCCGUUGCAGCUGGUCAUCUUGCCGUGAUGUAGAGUGAACGCGGAGAUAGUCCUUCUCAGCCUAUUCCCAUCAAGGGCAGUUUGUACCCCCACUGAAGUCUGAGACACAGUCCACUGCUUUCCCUGAGGAGUUGCUGCGGCAUUGUUGCGGUGAAGAGAGUGGUUAAGCCUUGAGGUACUGUAAGCUGUGGUUGAUUGCCUUUUGUUGCGCAUAGUCCCGGGUGUAGAGCCUUUGGGCCCAGGCCUGAGGCUAGUUUGGGUGCUUUCUUGCCAUGUGGCUGGUGGAGCUUCUUCCUCCGUUUAAUCCUGGCUCUUGCAGGGAUCGCCGUCGCUCUCUUCCUCAUGGCACUGGGUGGCGGACUCCUAUUGGAACCGCUUGUCGGCACAUGGUGUGCAGAUGAAUGUAUCCGCUCGCUCAGUAUGCUUCAGAACCUUGCGAAGAGGUGAUCCAGCCUAGUGAGGGACUCGUCAGUGUCUUGGCUGGGAGCUGUAGCGCACGUGGUGUCCGCCGUUACCAGAGGGUUCCGGAGUUUGCAAGGUAUGCGAGUGGGUCUCUUGGAUUAGGACGCCCACCGGUCCAAAGAGGGGGGGAAACGGGGCAGCAGUCGGAUUUGGCGGUAGUCCAGCGCCCGGCAGGGCGGGAAAGUGUCCGCCUCCCUCAUCCGCCAGCCGCACUAGGCCGCACCGCGUCCUCCGUGAAUUGUGUGAGGUAGGCCAGAUUUUAGUAGCCCCACAGGAAACCUGUUGUUGCAGGGUGUCAGCAAGUCACAAUUAGCCAAGAGAUUAGCGCCGCAAGGGGCAUAAAGCAUAUGCAAGUCAGUAGCUUAGCGUGGAGCUCCUGCAGAACGCGUCCAGCCGCCAUGCAGGUCAGGCCCUGGUCAACUUAGUUUUUAAUGCAGCUAGUCUGGGUAAAAAUUCCCUUUGAUUUCCCAUUUUAAUGAACAAUCCUGGAAAUGUAAAGCUGAACUACGUAAAUUACAAUGAUAGUUAAUAUUGAGGAAGAAGCGGUUUUAUAUAAAAAAAUAAAUGAAAUCAUACAUAAGUAAUAAGAUCCGGCUUACGUCUAAUUCUUUGCUGAGUUGAGCUGCAGAGUAACUUCCUUACUAUGAGAUAUUGUUGUAAUUGCUUUUUUAGGAGUAAGAUAAGAGAGGAACUAAGCAGAACUAAGAUUACCAAAUAUAGUACAUGUUUAGAGCUGUUUACUUUGGGAUAUUACUGGGAAACCCCUGCCAGUGAGCCACGAGUUCUCUUUGCUACGUGGUUAAGGUUUGUGAUACCUUAAAGGGACACUGCAAACCCCUAAAGAACUUUAACUUGUUGAAGUGCUUUAUGUGUGGAGAGUGUGUCUUCUUUUUUAAAUUUUACAAAAAGUACAGAUUUUAAUAGAAAUUAGAACAUUUAUAAUGUGGCUCUGUUACAACCACCUGGCUGUCAAUCAGACAACUGGCUCUGUUACUUCCUGGUUUGGUUAGCUCAAUGCUGCUAAACUCAAGAGGCAGCAAUUGCCCAGAGCACCUGCCUUGCAAAGACUUGUCAUUGAGCUGCAUUGCAAAGCCACAGAAUGUCUGGGCAGGUUAGAAGGGGAGGGCUUGCAAAGGCUACAGAGAAGAGAUUUGUAAGUGUUUUAGUACAUACAGUAUAAAUAGUAAUUUUUAAAUUUAAUUUUUGUAUUUGGGCAGUGGAGUGUUCCUCUAAACUGUAAUUGACUGGGUUACAUUUUUAGAGGGAGAUAUGCUCUAUAUAUUAACGUUACAAAAAAAGUGGAGAAAUAAAAAGAGAGAGAAUGAAAGUAAAGUAUCAGUUCUCCUUUAAUAUACCCCAGCACUUUCCGUAGACACUUCAUCAGCUUUCAUUGUUGGCUAAAAACGACCCCCAACAUCCUGUUUCUGUUUGUUUGUUUGUGUAGUUUGAUCACUUCUAAAAAAAAAAAAUAUUUUUACAGAUUAUUAUUUAUGCACAGGAAAAGCCUAAAAAAAAAAAAAAAAUCACAGAAUAAUGUUCAGAAAAUUUAAUUAAAAUAAAAAUAAAAUUUGUUGCUGUUUAUUCUGCUCCUAAUCUAUGCUACAGUCCUCACCAAAACAUGUUUCUCCUGAAUAUACCAUUUUCUAGAAUUCCCCAAGAAAUUAUCCAGCACCUUACUGAUCUCCCAUUAAUCUCGACUUUACUCUCUCUCAAUAUUGUCAAAUUGACCAAUUUCUUGUUCCAGUGCCCUGCAUACUGUCUCUGCGCCUUUCACAUUAUCCCAUAUGUUUUCAAUUAUAUUUUUAUUUAUUUGUCAGUUCUUAUGCAGCGUUCUUACCAGAGCCCUUUACAAUUUAUGCAAAAAGAAUGUUAGCUAUUGUACAGAAAGAUUGAUCUAUAAUCAGACACAGUGAUAUAAAAGGAGAAGAGACCCUGUGUCAUCUGUUCAACGCCUUGCGUUGUACUAGGCAUAGAAGCUUACAAUCUAUUAAAUCUAUAAUUUUAUCUUCAAAUACAUGCAAAACCAAAGUAAAACGACAUUGGUACAACCAAAACUAAAUACCACUGUUCUCCCUCAUCUUACUGGGUCUUUCUGCAGUCUUUGAUAAAUUUGGCCACCACCUUCUGAUACAAACGUUUCGUACCUUUAGAAUCUGUGGCAUUGUGCUUUCCUGGUUCAAAUCUUAUCCUUCAGAUCAUUCUAUCAGUUUCUCAUCAGGCAUCUUCUUCUCCCCACUUUUUAUUUACUGUCCUUUUCUAUCCCUUUAAGCAAUCAAUCUCAGAAUAAUUUAUUUAUUUCCAUCGAGGGUCUCGAGGAUCUUUAUCUGUAACCCGUUAUCCAUUGAUUGAUUAUAUAUUAUGACAUUAGAGUGCUGAUGAUGAUAUCGCCAUGACAAUGCCUUCAGAAUUGUACUGAUAACAUGAUAGAAUCAGUGAUCACACAUGAUUCAUUUCUGAUUAUCUCUAUAUCUGUGCUGAAUAUGUGCUACUUAGUCAUAUAAGGCUUUAUUUUCACAUUGAAAAAGAACGUUUGUAAUAUUCUCUGGCAACAUCGAAGGUUCGGGAUUUCAACACUUCACAAAUUUUAGUUCACUGGUGAUGUAAUAAAAGUUGGGCUGUUAGCAGUGCAUGCGGAUUUUGUACGGCAAAAAACGAAGUAUAUUAAUCUUAAGGUUACACAACUGUUUAUGAUAUUUUAGGAUUUGCCUCUUAUCUCAAAUAAUAACAUUAUGGCAUUCUGUAGCUAUGCAAAAUAAUCUGUACUUCGUAUUUUUGAAAUUGCUACAAAAUAUAUGAUUUAUAUUGUAUUUCUUUACAAUACGCCCUUGUUCUGGUGCGUCAGUUUUCUCCAAAAUGCAAAUUGGGGCAUUAAACAAUGUCUCACUUAUAUUGCUUCAAUGCUAUUCCAGUUAUUAUGAGAAUCUAAUUUGGAUUACGGAGAAAUAUCACUCAAAUUGACUGCAAUCAGGACACAUAGGAUACAGUAAGGAAUACUUUGUCUUGUGGAUGGGCCGGAUUUUGGCAAAAUGUGGCGAAAGGCAGAGCUUUAAGCGGCUUCUUUUCUGCAUCUUGCUGUUUCGUUAUAAAUGGUGAUGGGAACAGGUAUCUUCUCGUUGCAUGAGGUCUUCAUGCCUAUGUGAAUGCACAAGAAGAUCAAUCCCAACACCUUGUUUUGCAGUCUUGCACAUGCAGGAGAGAACACCAAUGAUGUGGCUCCUGUUGACUUUCUUUAUGAAAGAUGGUCCAAAACUGGAAUAUGGUAGAACUGAGGAAGGAGAGUUUCAGUAAUGUGUAUCUUCCUUCCAAUCUUCCCGGAAGCCACCACACAAACACACAUACCAGCGAAGUGGGGGGAGUAAAAAGCUGCCUUACAGGUGUCAGUGACUUUAAAUACAAUCUGAUUUUUAAUUUAUUUCCGACAUAAAUAUUAAUAGAUAUAGACAGGGAAUCUGAGAAGAAUAGAUUGUCAGCUCUAAAUAGACAGGCAGAAAUGAGGUAAGAAAUUGAGACGACGGUGAACGAAGCGGUAGGGAGCGUGUCGGUGAUGUCUUUCAUUUCACUGAUGAGACCAUAAGGGGUGGUCUCCCCAACAAAGGGUAUUAAGUUGGUGGACUCCAUUCCAGUCUGACUAGCCUUCUCUCUGACCACUCUAACUCAGGGCUCCCACGCACAGAGCGCUGCUACCAACAGAGUCCAAAAGUGGUACUGCAGAACAUAACCCCGUAUUUGAGACUGUGAUGUUUAAAGUAAGAUGGCUGGAAAAUAGGUAGAUGUUUCUCCAUAAUUCAGUUCAUGUACGCUUGGUACAGACUAUGUUAUGAUGAUAUUCUAAGCAAGAGGUUUUCCAGAGUUCCACUGUCUUCACCGUUUGAAAAAGCCAAAAAAACAAAACAAAACUAUGAGAUUCUCAAGAAUGUUUACCAUGUUUUUAAAGAAGUUAUAAAAAUUAUGAUGGAGAUUUUCUGUUGUGGAUUUUAAUUCUUAUUUAUUUAUUUAUUCUUCGAUCUGAACUUUCCCGCCAGCUGUCAGCGCUUGUUAAUGAUUAAAACUUUCAGAGUUCUAUUAAAUUAUGUCAUUAGGCAACCACAGUAAAUACUUUUUAUUAGUAUGUGGACAUAAUCGAAAGUAACAACAUAGCGAUGAACAUUGCGAAGGAUGCAAAUGUGCUGUAGAAAGUUUUCAAAGCAAAGUCUCACUGAUCAUCUUCACUUCUCAGAAAUGACCCAAGUGAUGUGGCAUGGCCUGCUUUCUAAAUCUCUGUGGUUAUGACUGUUGCACUGCCAGAUAGGUGGUUAGAUAAAUGUAUUCACGGCAAGUUGUCAGAGAGACAAUUGUACUUGAAAUAUUAAUACUAAAUAAAUAAGUUCAUUAAAUGGAAUGUGGCAUAUUUGUGUCAGGCAAAACAGAUAUAGGCAUCCUUUUAAGAUUUUCUCAAGGGGUGAAAUUUGCUGUAACACCCCUCAAAGUCUGUGUGAUUGUGAUGGAAAUUGUUGGUAACAGUUAUUGUUAAAAGGUUCUCUUCUAUUCUUAGCGGAUUCCCUGUGUAGUGCACCCCACCUUUAUUGCGCUAUUUAUUUACCCCAAUAUUGAAAACUUGUUUGGCUUUUCUGCAACUCAACAGACUUAUCUUCACCCUCAAACAAAUGCGGUAGAUGAUUUACAGAUUUUACAGGCAUAGUUUCUGUUCUCUGAAAAGAAAAUGGAGAUUAUAAAUGUCUACUGAGUGCAUCCUCCAUCCCAAACUGACUCUUCCCAACCAUGUUUGGCCUCUACCCAGCAAGACAAACAAACCUGAAGGAGGUUCUGCUGCUGUAAAAACAUAUACUUUUAUUAUAACAUCAAUAAAAUAAAACAUUUAACCUGGAAGCCUAACUCAUGGUCACGUGACCAAGAGCUUGGCUUCGGUCACAUGAUUAUUAUUCCUCUGGGUUGGUCACAUGAUCACAUACAUUGGUUGGCAGGGCAACCUUGCAACCAGAUUGAAACCAAAGUAUGUAGUUAAAAAAAACAACAAGAAAAAAAUAUAUAAUAUAACAAAGCUGUAUAUUAAUCCAAGGUACAUAGUUACACAAUUUCCAAGUUCACAUACAAAACCUGUGAGUGAUGAGCAACAGUAGGGGACUUGCGGGUAACACGUGGCCUCUUGUUUUCUUGGGGCCACAGUUCACUCAGAACAGACAGGAAAAGUGACCAAACCAUCCUGGUUGAUUGCCAAUCAAGCCUCUCUUAAAAUGAUCUUGCACUGCCACAAGUAUAAUCAGUGAUGCGCUCAUACUCACAAUGUGUUUUCAAGUCUUCUCUCCAGUGGCCAUAGAAAACCCACACAAAAUAUUUUUUUGUGGUCGUCCAGUAAUUUUUUUUGUAUCUUUCAUUUACCCAUUUUUAAAAUUUAUUUUAAAAAAUCUCUAUUGUAAAUGGAAGUCACACAUUGUGAUUAUGCUUUAGUGUUUGUUACUUUAUAUCGAAUUAUUCUUCUAUGAGAUUCUUUCGGUGGUAUAUGGGGAUUAGACAAGCAAACACUGGCGAAUAGCUUUCAUUUUUUUUGGUAUAUAUCAAUCUCCGUGGCCUCAAAAACAAAAUAUCUGAGGGUUAUGAAAGGUGACAGCUGUUAUAUCUCCAACUACAUUUUCUCUCCCACAGCUGUCCAACAUCUUCAAAUAUGCUUCAGUAUCACUCUGUAGGGUACAAUACAUAUACUAGAUUUAAAGGUCUGUUGUAGAAAGCACAGAAUUAGUUUUCUUCAUGCUAUUUUAAGAUGCGUGGAUUCUCAAGCCAGCUAUCUUGUGAAAAAUCCAUAGACAUUUUUAUCCAUGACUUUGCAUCCAAAUUCCAUGAUCUUUGCUCACUGCAGCAAAAUAAAUUGUGUUGGGAUUUAAUCAGCUUUCACAUGUUUUUGCUAUCGGGCAUAAGUCUUUGGAGGGCAUCUGUUCUCUUUGUCACUGAGAGAUGUGUAUAUAGUGUGUGCAAAAAAUGAUGGUUGCACGUUUCAAGGAUAUUUUGCAUGGUGUGCAAAACUUAAAGUAACAAUGGUGCGCCAAACAGAAUAUUAAUAAGUGUAAUAUGUGUAUAUAUACUUUGCUUAAAUAUUUUGCUAUGUACUUGCUUAUAUAUCUUGAUCAUGAGAACCUAUAAAUAUCAAAAGACACAAAAAAAACCAACAUAGUGCUAAACUGUAAAAUAUAUAAAUAGUAUCAAGCUAAAAUUAUUAUAGCACACACAAAAGUAGGGUGGCUAGAGUACCACUCAAACUACCCCACUCAGGGAGGAUCAGCCUCUUGAGGGCACCAGGUCCAAAUCUGUAUUGUGUGGAAGGACUCACUACCAGCCCAAGUUACAUGUUGCAACUUUUAUUUCAAUUUUCGGUUCAAAAAAACAGUCGAAACUCAGACGUUUACAUUGCCCUCAAGCAAAUGCACAGUCUAUGUUAGCUCUGAUAUUCCUCUGAAUGUGCUCAGAGUUCACUUGUCUGUCAACCAUCGUGUCGAAUGAUCUCCUGCUUCUGUGUACUCCCCUGGUGUGUCACGUGGACUCAAACGCGUUUCGCCCCACCUCUCAGAGCUUCUUCAAAGGCAUGUAAAGACUUUCCUUACACCCCUCCAUAUAUAUACCUACUUGUGCAUUGUUAAAAAUCAUGUUACUGGUAACAUUAAUACAUAUAAGUCGUUACAACCUUUCAAUACCGUCCUAGUAACAUAAAAAGUGACAAAGUAUAGUGACAUUCCCAAGAGAUUUUUUUUUUACACAUAACAUUCUUAAGAGGAACAUUUAUUAAAAAAAAUAAACAAAACUUAAAAAAAAUACUGUUUAUAGCAAAGAAGUAAAUAUUCAAAAAGCCUAUUUAUUGAAAGACAUAUAUAUAUGUACGACUUCUGCCUCAAAAAUUUUAAAAAGUAAAAUGCAAAAAGAUUCAUGUUGGCAUGGCAUGAAACCCAACUUACUGUAUAAAGCAUUUGUCAUUUAAAAGGGCAUACUUCGCUACUUGGGUUUGGUAUGUUCUGAAACAUUUGUGAGGCAGAAAAUAUAUAAUUUUGUUAAAUAUACAAAUAAUGUAAUAAGUGUUCCUUUAUUUUUUUAUCCUUAUUUGUCAGUCAAAUUUUAGGUUAGAUUCACUGAAUUGAAAACAUAGCUCACUCUGGGAAUUUUUAAAUUUCUGCGAUUGUGGCCUAAGAUUUGAAAAUUCACUUCCUGUCACUUCUCAUAACGAGUCUAAUGCAAACGUAUUUAUUUAUUUAUAAAACAUUUUACCAGGAUGGAUACAUUGAGAUUUCUCUCGUUUUCAAGAAUGUCCUGCGUGUUUGUCCACAAAACAUUGUAUUGUUACAAUAGGAUACAAUAUUACAAAAAUACAAUGUACAAACAAUAUAUAUAUAUAUAUAUAUACACACACACAUAUAUAAAUUUAAUACAUAGCAGGUAAUAAAUAUAUUCAACCAUGACAGGUGCAUUCUGUGCUGAGGUAUAUUGCCAUAGAUCUCUUAAAAGAUUUUAGAUUGAAUGAAGAUUUGACUGUGUCCCUGAGGUUAUUCCAUAAUUGCGGUGCUCUGUAGGAAAAUGAGGCUCAAGCCACUUUAUUUUUGUAUUGUGGUAUGCCAAAUAUCGUGGUAGUACUGGAUCGGAGGUUAUAGGAGGUGGGAACAGCCGGGGAGAGCAUUCUACUCAGGUAGCGGGGGAGCUUCCCAGAAAAGCUCUUAAACACAAGGCUGAAAAGAUGAAGAGUGCGUCGGGAUUCCAGCGACAGCCAGUUUAGCUCUUUUAACAUGUCACAGUGGUGGGUAAAGUAAUUACAUUCUAGUACAAAGCGGCAGAAUGAAUUAUAUAAUGUAUUUAAGUUUAUUAAGGUGGGUUUGCGGGUUAUAAUAAAAUAGAAUUAGUGUUCGCUCCCAACAAGCACAAUAAUAAACGCUCAGUUCUGCUAAAUCUCACACGCAGCUAUUGCAGCACAAAUAAAGUAAAAUCUCUUAACAUGGUAACCAUAGAAACAUAGAAACAUAGAAUGUGACGGCAGAUAAGAACCAUUUGGCCCAUCUAGUCUGCCCAAUUUUCUAAAAACUUUCAUUAGUCCCUAGCCUUAUCUUAUAGUUAGGAUAGCCUUAUGCCUAUCCCAUGCAUGCUUAAACUCCUUUACUGUGUUAACCUCUACCACUUCAGCUGGAAGGCUAUUCCAUGCAUCCACUACCCUCUCAGUAAAGUAAUACUUCCUGAUAUUAUUUUUAAACCUUUGUCCCUCUAAUUUAAGACUAUGUCCUCUUGUUGUGGUAGUUUUUCUUCUUAUAGAAACCAGUUUUAUAUUUGUUGCUCAAAGGAAAAGGAACCAUUUCUGAAUAUGCUAACACACAAGAACACAACAUAUUGAGAACAUUGUUAUCACUUUAUUGGCCAAUGUCAUCUGAACACAGUUAUUUUUAUGUAAUACCAACUUCUGUUUUCACCGUGUCCUUCUUAAAAGGACAGCUGUCACACACCAGGACGUUUAUACGAAGUUUUACUUAUUUUUUUUUUACUGUUAUAUUUUUAACAAAUGUGUUGGUAAGGUCUGAAAACUAAAACUCAGUGUAGAAAUCCCUGUGUAGAAAUUUACUUCCAUCUUCUCUGCCUGAAAUUCACAUUUGGCUGCAAAAUAAAAACACAAAUAGUUGUAAUGUAGGGAUAGUAAAGCUAUAUAAUCGUAACUGAAUUUUCUGUUUAGAUUGGGUGAAUUUUCUGCGUAAAAUUUUAAAUGAAUUGCUGUAUGAAAGGGGCUUCCAGACAAUUCUCCAAGUUUUUCGAUGUCUUUAAAUUAACAUAAUUAUUAAAUGUCUAGCUUAGAAUCUGGAAUUUGAUUUAAAAACAUGGCGGGGUGAUUAAAAGUCCAACACCCAGAUAUUGUGGCACAUCAGCUUGCCUGAUGGUUUGCUAGUGAUAAUGGUAGCAAAGCAACAUUGAAGUUGGACUUUCUACCUUGUGAUAGAUACCUCUAUGCUACAGAGUUUUUAAUCCUGUGUAGACUGGAUAAAUCCCUACUGUCUAUUUCAUCACAGCAAGGUAUUUAAUUUAAUAUCACCAUGGUAACCAGCUAAUAGAGGGGUAUGCAGCUUGUUCACAAGCAUCCCUCCAAACCUUUGCAGAACUAUUUCAUAUAUGUUUAAUAUAUGUAUAGUUGUAGAAUCUGUUGCUUUGCAUACUUUGUACGGCAGAGAACGUGACACUUUUCUGCUGGCUCUAAGCAAUACUAAUUUGUGUGAUUAAUCUUUUGAAUGGGUUAAGCAGUAGAUUAAAUAGACAGAGUUAAAAAAAAACAAGUCUUCUCCUAUAAGUGAAGACCAUGAUCGGACUAGGUUGUUUUUAGCAACGCCCACCAUUUGUUAGUGUUAUUUUCAGGAACGAAUAAAAGCACGUGCAGGCAUCAUGAAUCAUUAAUUAUCAUUACAAAUUAUCAUGUGAAAAGAGAGAUACAAAACAGGAGGAGCAACGAGAUUACGAACAGGGGAGAAGAGGAAAGAUAGACUGAAUUAAAGAGGUGGGAGUAAUAUGAGUAUAGCAAGAUGACUCUUCUUAACUCCGAAAUCUGGAUCCUGAUCGGUCAGGGAAGCAUUACUGGGUUGUUGUUUUUUAGAAACAUUUACUUUAAAAAAAAAAUUAAAAAAAAUAACAAAUCAUACUUCUGGUGUGAUUCAGCUUAAACAAAGACUGGAGAUUCAUGUGGAAAAAAUGCCUGCCUGAUUAUUUCAGUGUAAAUGUUACAAUUCAGCAUUCAAUUCACUGUUAAGAAAAUAAAUCACAAACUGUCAUCCUUGUAUAUCCUUACUAAUGCCAUAUAUCCCUGGCAGGACCGUCCUGAUUUUAUAUACUUGGCAGAAGGGCCGCCAUCAGGGCUUGACAACCAAGAUGGUUGUAAUGGUCCCAGCGGUCCUGGUAGGUCAGGGAAUCCUGGGCCCCACAUUACCCAUGUGCAUAUAUAUAUAUAAAACGCUAUACUUAUGUGCAUCUUUGGUCCCCCCCAUGAUCUUCAAAGCGUUGCCACGGGCUACCAUGGCAAUGCUCCACGUGGCUCGCCAGACUUAGGCAGAGCAGCUUGGAAGUAUAUUUUGAGUGUGCUGGGCCCCCUGUAGAGUACAGAUAGCGGGGGACCCACACCAUGCCACCGGACCCCCAGGCAAUGUGAUCUCCACCCCUAAGAUGCAGGGAGGGGGGAAUAAAAUAACAUUUAUUACAAUUAAUGGAAGAAGAAAAAAACCUGAAUACUGUAGGCUUUCCCCCCACAUUAUGCAAACCCAUACAUUUACACACACGAUACACUAUACUACUACAUUUACACACACUAUACACUAUCAUUUACACACACUAUACACUAUACUACUACAUUUACAUACACUAUACACAAUACUACUACAUUUACACAAUCACACUCUGCAGUCACUCAACACACUACAACCACUACAAAAAAACACACUCUAGAGUCACUACACACACACUACAUCCUUACACAAACACACACUUUCCAUUCACUACAUACACUACAUCUACUACUCAACACACACUCUGCAUUCACUACACACACUACAUACACUACACAAACACACACUCUGCGUUCACUACACACACUACAUACAUUACACAAACACACACUCUGCGUUCACUACACACACUACAUGCACUACACAAAGACACACUGUGCAUUCACUACACAUGUACUACAUCCACUACACAAACACACUCUCUGCAUUCACUAUACACACCACAUCUAAUACACACAAACACUGCAUCUACUAAACAAACACACACACUGCAUUCACUAUACACACCGCAUCUAAUACACACAAACACUGCAUCUACUACACAAACACACACACUCUGCAUUCGCUUUACAAACACACUCUGCUUCCACUACACACAUUCUACAUCCACUAUACACACAGCACAAUCAGUACACACACAGCAUCCCUGUGGACGGACUCGGGGGGCGGCCCUGUGAACGGACUCGGCCUUGAGCUGUGUCAGGGGCCACAACAUUUCUGAUGGCUGCCCUGCUUGGCAGUAUAUGUUUAUUAUGCAUGUGAAAAGUUUUAUAUUUAGCUGCAAAGUCUAGAUGCAGUUGGGCUCAGGUGCACGCUCUGCUCAACAGACGAAACCAGAAAAACUUUUUCGGCAAAUGGAGAGCUGUUAAAAUUCCCUAUUAGUCAAAUGACAUGCCCACAAUAAUAUAGUAUUUCUCAUAGAACUAAUCAGAUUUUAAAGUUAACAUAUGUCAACGUUUGUUCUAAUAUACAAACCUUGCUUUAGUAUAACAAUAAUCUGGAUGAAGACAUAAUGUUGAAGAUAUUUGCUAAAUUCUUCACACAAACUUUUUUAUUUUUUAUUUUAAUUGUCUCUUUUCUAAACACAUACAAAACCUGCCAAGUUAGAAAUAGAAAAAAUAUCUCAAAUUAAGAGUUCACGAGUUCAAGAUUUUUUUCCUGUUUGGCAAUUUUAGUUAUGCUUUAUAAAUUGGUUCAUUUGAGAUACUACAAUCUCCAUUAAAAGAUUUUAUAUUUUGAACCAUGGGUAAUAUAAUUAUUAAUUGACCAGCGGGCAUUCGGCUGACUUUCACUAAUCAAGAACGCAAAUGUUUAUCUCUCAUUAGCUGUUUAUAUCCUGCACUGUAAAAUGAUUAAGCUCUGUGUAAUAUAUUUGUGCUAUAGAAACGCUAAUAAUAUUAGUAAUUAGUAAUAUUAGUAAUUAGUAAGUGAUAUUUGGCACGUCUUGUAUAAGUAUUACUGACAAGUGUUUUCUUGUACAAUAUAAUUUGUGUUCUGUAAUUGCAGGGGAUUCUCGACCCGAAGAAUAACUAUAAGAAUUGUGUUAGCGGUCAAUAUCACACUGAUUACGCCCCAGAUAAUCAACCCAACGUGCAGAAUCUUUCACACAACCACUUCGCUAUGAAGUUUCCCUUCACACUGACUCCCACUUGCGUAGGUAUUUUUUAUUCUAUGUUAGUGGUUGGAAUUUCCUGAGUACAUCAAACCAAAUAAUUAGAACAAAGAAACAUUUUACUACCGGAAAAUUAAUCGAAAACACUGAAUUAUGUUUGGAAACAGUGAGACGUUCGAAUACUCUGUAUUUGUCAAUGGACAUAAUGUAUUUAUAGAUGAAGACACCCAUUUUAACACAUUACACUGUAUAAACAAUGUAUAAACAGUUGUGUGACCAGAAUACGUUUGCUCACUGUAUUAUACAUCCUGUUGGCUGUAUUAUGUAUUUUCUCAAAAAAUACCAAAGUAAAGAUCAGAGGAAUUUUUGAUAUAGGUGAACUUUAAAAAAAAAUAAAAAAUUGUUUUUAAUGCUUUAUUUAUAAUGUUGUUCAGUACAAAAUAUAAACCAGGCCAUUGUCACACUCAUACAAUUGUAGCACAGUAAUAAGCAAUUGUCAUACAGAUGCAGUACAGCAAUAUAAACAAGGACUAGAACGAGGGUUUUGUGAAAGUAAUUAGGAGCUCCAUUAAGGCAAAAAAAUAAAAAAGACGGGCAUAAACAAGGUCAUGGCUCCACAGUUCUUAAGCACUCCAUUUUAGAACUGUUAAUAAGGUUAGCUCGUAGAAAGCCCCUCUCUCUGUGACAGUAGGUAUGGCAUUAAGACUAACUAUUUACUGAGUACCGUAAUUAUAAUAUUACAAUAACUAUAUAUUGAAGUAAGCUGGAGAGAGCAGCUGGAAGCACAAUACAUAGGGUGUUAUUAAUCCCUAGGCACAAGGAGGGAGGGGACAGUAUUCACAUACUCCCAGUGAUACCACCCUUGUUUUUAAAGGUAGUGUCUAUCCUUGACCAUACCUCAUAUAAUAAACAAUAUUAAGAGACAGCAAGCUGGCAAUAUAAGAAUAUAGAAACAGAAAUAGCAUUAUGAAAAACAUUAUGUCUGUGUGUUGGUUGCUUAUCUUACACAGCCAUAAUGUUCCAUAACCCCGCAAGGGUUCUGGAUUCAAUGAGAUAGUCCAGGUUUUGGGAUCCUGCCCGGUUGUUCUGUGCUUGUUCUGGGGACACCAAAUAAAAAUCCAUGUGAAAGGCCGUGCUAGGCCGACAUGUCCCUUUUUGACAUUAAGCUGUCUCCCACAUUCAUCCCUGUUGCUCAAUGUGCUACUGACAUGCCCUCUCCAGCCCUGCUAUUUACUAGUAUCAUUUAAAAAAAACUCCAAAUGUUGAGAGCUAUGUGGCUUUUAGUGGGGCAAGACACAUUUACAGUAUAUAAUCUUUUUUUUAAUUUUUUUUAUUCUGUGGUGGCUUGUUGAUGUAUUAAUUUGACCAUCUUUUUUUGGAGAUCUACCUGAACCUCCUUGUUUUACCAUCACCUUUUGUCUCCAAAUCUUACGGGCAUCUUUCCAGUACCCGUAACCAGACUGUGCAGAAAACUGAUCACAAACUUUAAUUUAUCUGUGAAGUAUCUGCUCCCCAAUAUUUUUCUGCAGCUUGACAAAUACUUCUCUAUACAGCCUUUAUCACAAGGAAAAUGGCUGACACAGUUCUGCCUAAUGCAAAGCACCAAUACCUUAAAAGAGUUGGGUUUACCAUAAUGUGUGACCAAAUCCCUGUUUUUCACAGGUAAUUUUUAGUAGCCUUGAAAGAUUGAUACUGUCCUUUUGUGGGUGCUCCAAUCCCCGUCUGUGUAUUUUUUAACAUUAGGACAAUGCUCUGCUAGUAAGUUCAAUAUUCAUAUUAGAAUCUUUUGAAGUCAGAAAAGGGAAAGAAAGAAAUAUUAAAAAUCUGAAAUUGCCAGAAAGUAAAGGAAACCACAAAGUAGAACCACCCCAAUUCAUUUCUGCAAAUAUUUGCACCUUUACAUAGGUAAAAACAUUUUUUUAUGGGUUUUAUGUUUCUCUGCUAAAUUUUGCUGAGUGUAAUAGAAAUCUGUGGGAGAUUCAGAGGUUGCAAUGAUGAACAAACAGAAAUAAACUUCUUUGUUCUCGUAAACAGCUUGCUUGGGCAAUAAAGUGUGAAUAACAGUUGCUGAAUGAUAUUUUCAAUGCGGUAUAAGGUGUGAAUAAUAUUAGCUGAACCAUCUUUUCUAUUUAAAGUGACAGUGCAGUCAGUUAGUCCAUGUGGGGUUUAUUCAUUGAGCAGCCAAUUCAAAACUGAAUUGGAAAAUUGCAGGCUAAAAUAGCACAACUGUGACAACAAUUGUCCAAUUCAGCUAUUUUUUGUUAAAUAUUUUUAAUCAAUCUACUUUUUAGUAAACAAACCUCUGUAUGAUUUAAUACCCAUGCUGUGUUAAUACAUAUAUAUAUAUAUGUAUAUAUAUAUAUAUAUAUAAAUAUAUAUAUAAAUAAAAAUAAUGUAUAUAUAUAGUUAAUACAAUGUUAAACAAUAAUCUGCACACCAGUCAAGCCAUAAGACUUGCUUUUCCCACAGAAAUCACAAAUCUGCAGUGAUGUUACUACUGCAAAGGAUUCUGGGUGGGCAUAUGCAAAUUUGUUUAACAAAGAAUCACAUUUUUGCCUCAUUCCAUUUUAAACAUGGAUUCCUUCAAGUCUGUGUUUGCUGUAUACAACAACUUAGGAAAAGAUGCAAAGCCACGGACAGCUUAUAAUAAAAUAUCUCCUUCCUAUUACUAUGCUAGAAAAAAGUUAGAAUUUUAUUUCUGACAGGAGGCUCAUAUUAUGCAUGUUUAAAGCUAGAUAUUUCUGUAUCAAGGCAUGAGAGAUACUAACUAAUGUAUAAUAUUCAUAUAAACAAUAAACAAUAAUCAGUUCUAAAAUAAAAUGAAAAAAACUAACUAUUUUGUAAUAUCAGAAGACUCGUUAGCUGUUUUAGAAUGUACUCUAACUUGCUCCUGCCCCCAAAUAAUUAGUUGCCAUAGUAGGUAAGUAGAAUGGACCAGAAAUGUAGCGAUAUGUUAAUACCUAAUAGAAUAUAAUUUGACAUGCUACAUCUAGUUACAUCUCGUUAAUGUUCCUUAGGUAAAUGGUAGCUUGUUACCGAAUUUCCUCCCAUUUGUUCACAGACUAAAGAAUAUAGUUUUGUCAGUGGAUUUAUUCAAUAUAACUUCAGACACACAGACCACGUGCAUUUAUUGGCUAAUGAAUAGAAUAUGAGCAGAACCAAAUCCUGUUUUUUCUACCAACAUCUUUAUAAUUCCAACAAAUAUCAGUAGUAGAAAGAGGAUCCAGGCACUCAAAGUAUCUUCAAAUGUGUUUAUUGGGGCAAGUGAGACACCGCAACAUUUUGACCCUGAAAGGGUCUAUUUCAAGCUGGUGUUGGCCCCUGGUCCAGUUUAGCACCCGGAUCUUCUCGUUAUUGGAAGUGCUGUUCGUUUUUCUCUUUUUAUAAUUUCGACAGAGACCUGAAAUUAAAUCUAGUAUCUGACAUCUGGGUCAUAGGUAAAACCACAUAAGUCAACCUUAAAACUUCUGCCAAAACCAAAGUUAGAUAAUUUAAUUACGAUUACCCAAUGGGAACACAAGAGGACAGUCUGUUAGUAUCUCUGAAAGACGUGGAGACCAAGGCUGGGUAACAAGAAGCACUGUUUUUUUUUUUUAUAGUGUAGAGCUGUAGAAAAAUCUCAAAAUCCUAUUGAAAUAGAGGAAAAUAUAAUAGGUAAUUUUUUUUUGGUUCAUGUUUUUGACUUUGUCCUAUCAAAAUCCUUUAAACAUUAUAAAACAGUUGACAUUUUUCUUUGCAAAAAUCCUGUAAAAACAGUAAGCCAUUAGAAAAUAAUUAUAAUACAGUCAAUAUUUUGUUAUGAGUAGCAUGAAUAUUUGUUUGUGAUUCAACUGCAAAGAAAGAGAAGGAACGUUGCCAAGAUAGAGCUGAUAUAGACUGUGUUACUCUCUGAUUGGUUACCACAACAUUCCGUUCAUCAGUUUGUGUGUACUGUGCUUGUUCAUGUUUGUUUACAGGAUUUGCAAAUUUUGGGUAAAAUUCAGAGUGUAUUAAAAUAAAUAGUAGUGCAUUAUAAAAAUAUAUGUUAAAUACCAGUAAAUAUAAUUUUAAAUGUGGAUAGUUUACCUACACGAAUGCCGGCCUAAUCAGCGACCUACAUCAUUUGCUCUCAGAACUUUGAAAAACAUUUCAAAGAUGUUCUACUUCAUAUAUUUAAAUGUAGGACAUGUAUUUAUUAAGGUGAGCUUGUUAAGAAUUGCUGCAUUUUAGUUUAACCCGUACAUUAACUAUACAUGCCUACUCUGGACGAAUCACUAAAGUGUGAGUUUUAAGAACCCAAGGUGAAUUUAAAGUGAAUAUCAAAUUUUAAGUCAAAUGGUCGAGUUAUUAACGUUUUCAAGUCAGCUAUGUGUUCAGUUCUGCUAUCUAAAAUUUCAAAUAUCCUCAUGAAUUCACUUAAAAUUCCCAACAACUCAUAAUUUAGUGAAAAACACGGACAGUUUAGUAAACCAUCAUCAAAGUGCAAUUUAUUUGCCUUCUCUUUGAAGGGAUUCUAUAUAGCCAGGAAAACAAACCCAUUUUCCUUGCACUAUAGGCUCCUGCAGUGCCACCCUCCCUCGCGCCAAUGCUUUCCUAUGGAAAAAAAUCUGAUGCUGGAGGUCCCCACGCAGAAAGUGAGGACGUCCAGCGUCAGAUAACCAAAGGUCCGUUUCGAUUCCGGAAGUCCCUCUAGUGGCUGUCUGGUAGACAGCCCAUAGAUGAGUUAACCAUCAGAGGUAAUUAUUGCAGUUUCUCAGAAGGGACCUGGGACAUUGUCUGGGUGCCUACCGUGUCCCUUUAAAAAUGUAUUGUAUGCAACCCUAAAUGGCCACGCUCAAGCUAGUGGCCCUUAGAAAUUCGCACCUUAAACACCUCUUUCUUUUCAUAAGGAUUGGCAUAUCUUGGGUUCAAAAAGCUGUUUAUUGAGCAAGGUUAUAGCAGUCAACAGUACAAUUGAGUAUGCAGCCGAUAAACUAGACACGCAUGUCUCAAUGGCUAGUACAUGGUAACAGAUUAAGCUGCAUAUUGCAGCCAACACGUUUCCUAUAAUUCAGGCUAAGUAACCUUAUAACAAGUAACAUUUUGCAGUGACAGCAGGGAUAGUAUACUGAUCGUUUCAAUGUAACAGGACAGCAAUAUGAGGAUUGGCAUAUGUUGCUUUUGACCCAAGGCCCUAUUUAUACCCCUUUACUGUGUACGACAGAGAUUGCCUAACUUUUUCACUCCCAAAUGUGUGUGCUCUAUUUUCCAUUAUAGCUACCUAGGAAUCAUGGGAAAUAUAGUUUACAAACAUGUCUGUUCGUCCACCCACUGUAAAGUGCAGCGGAAUUUGUUGGCGCUAUAUAAAUAAUAAAAUAAUAAUAAUAAUAAUAAUAAUAAUGUGGAGUGUCACGUUUAGUCCUCUCUAUGCUACAUAAAGAUAGAAGAGUUUGCUACAAUGAUUAGCACUUUAACCUGUUAUGGUGAGCUAUAGCUUUUAGCUUUGUUGAGGUUAGGAAGUGGUAGCAUUUAGCAGACAGUGACUUUAGAAAGGUGAAUUUUCUCACGAGCGUGAAAGGAACUCUAUAGUGUUAGGAAUACAAAGAUUUUGAGUUAGAAAGGCCAUGAGAAAUAUCUGACAUCUCUGUCCUGCAAGUGAAAGCAGACACAGAGUUAUAUCUGCCUUAAAGCGGCACUGUCAUGGCCAAAUCCAGUUUUCUUUUUAACCGGGGUGGCAGGAGGGGGCCCUAAAUGAAAAUAGGGGGGACCUAUUGUCCUCCCCCUGGCCCUCACCCCUGAGCGGCGAGUGGGGGCCCUAAAUGAAAAUAGGGGGGACCUAUUGUUCUCCCAUCUGGCCCCCACCCAUGGUGGCUAAAUGUGAAAAUACCCCCCAAAGGUCCAUUUCGAUUAGGGGUCUAGGGGUCUCCAAGCCCCUAGUCACACCCCCACCCCCCAAAGAAUUUAAGCACUACCAACCCCCUCACCCUAAAAUUAGUGAGGAGGGAGACCAUAAAUCAGACCAUAAACUAGAAAAGGCUGAAUAAAAAACCAUAGUACCUGUCAAAUUUAUAAAAUAAAAAAACAGAGCAAAAAAAAUAAUAAAUCAGACUAAAAAGAAAAAAUUCCCGACGCUAAAAAAAUAAUCCAUCUUCACCCGCGAGCCUUCCCACGCCCUGCAAUUAUGCUCAGCGCACACUCAUUGGUUGGUUUAAAAACCAACCAGAGUUCUCUGACAGGUAAAUGAAGAGACUGACAGGUAAGUCUCUACAUUUACUUGUCACAGCACUCUGAUUGGUUGGCUUGGAAUCCAACCAGAGUGCUCUGUAAUUUUACACAACGUGGGAAAGUUCUUUGGAAUUUUCCCAUGCUGUGUAAUUUAAAUCUUCACACUCUGGUUGCUUUCAAAAAAGAAAGCAACCAAUCAGAGUUAUGAGUCAAAUUACACAGCAUGGGAAAAUUCCAAAGAACUUUCCCACACUGUGGAAAAUGACUCAGUACUAACAUGAAUGGACGAACUGCUCUCAUUUUGUUAGGACAAAUUUCGGUGGUUUUUCCAGGGUUCAGGAAUACGGAAAGGAGGCAUUGCGAGAACACGGAGGAAAGGUGAGAAUUGUGGGGAAAUUUUUCUGACCACAGGAAACAGAGCACACUUUGCUUCUCGCUGGUCAUAUAUAGUCAGGCAUAGGAAACCUUCAUAAGACAAAGUAGUCUCUACUUUGUCUUAAGUUUUAAAGAAAACUAGAGCAGACAGAAAGAAAUGAAGAACAGAUCCUGAGAGAGGCAGAGAAGAGGAAGCGAUUGGGGAAAGGUAAGUUUGGCAUGACAGUGCUGCUUUAAAUGGAACAUAUUGCUUUUAUCUGUCUGAAACAAGCAGAAGUGUUAUGUAAUGACAAACAUCAGAAUUAUUGAAAAAUAAGGUAAAUUAUUUCUUCUCCGGGAAGGUUCUGUGAAAAAAGCUAAAAUGUUUCAUCCUUAGAAUCUUCUCGGACAUUUCUAUGGAAAAUGGAACUAGGGGAAAGUUAUCAUACCUGCCUGUUAUUAUAGGUUUUUUUUUUUUUUUUUUUACAUUAGCAUCUCAUAGCUAUUUCUAAACUUUAUCAGUUCUAGGACGUUAAGGCAGUGCUGUCUUGGUCAAUUAUUACAUUUGUACAUAAAUAUACAGCAGAUUAGUGUCUGUAGGGCUUCCAAAGCGUGGAGUGCUUAGCUAACUAACACAACCAGAAAGGGUCAAUAACAAACCUUACACUACUGCUCGAUCUUCAAACCGCUAAGAACUAUCAAAAGAUUAUAGGUAUGGUUACAUGUUUUGUUCAAUUGAUACCUGUGUUAGUUAAAGGAACACAAUGGCAUUAUAAAUACAGACCAUAAAAAUAAUUAAAAUACAAGGAUUAACAGUUUUUUUCCCCAAGCUGAUCUCUUCUGCUUCUCACAAAGCCAUUGAGGAGCCAUGGCCUCCUCCAGCGAUGGUCCUCCCAAUGCUCCAGUUAGAGAAGCACAGAGGACCUAAUGCCCAUGAGUGCUGAUCGACAUAUGUGCAUUAAGCUUCCUCAUAGAAAAGCAUUGUAUUCAGUAUUUUCCAAUGGACUUCUGUGUCAUGUGAAAGUAUUACUUGGUUUGUGCAGAGGAAGCACCUCUAGUGGCUGUCAGGAAGAUCACAUUGAGCUGAGGUGGCCUGGGUCACUUUAGAGUCCUUAACAGCCUUCUGUAGUAGUAAUGGUGCCAACAUUGCCCUGGCGCUGUCACUGUAAAGUCCAUCAAACAGUUUUAGAAUAGUGUGAUGACUUACCUGAGUUCUACCAGGUGCCCAAGGCCUCAGCCACCCUUUGUAUUCUCCUACUCUGCUCAUUGGUUGAGAGUGUCAGUUGAGAGCUCUCAUAUAAUGAGCGUGAUCCUGGACCACCAGUGCUUAGCUUAGACAUCUGACUCCUCCCGCAGGAGCCGACCAGAUGCAGUAUGGCUGUCCAGGGCACCCAGGUGAGCUGCCAAAGCAUUCAACAACUGCUGGCACCAUAACUACUACACUGAUCUGUAGUGUUUAUAGUGUUCUUUUAAGAAAAUAGUGAACUAUGAUAGGGAUUCUGCACAAAUGGGCUUCCAGGCUAGCUAUUUGUUUGGAUUUAUUUGCUUGUUUUACGUUCCUUAUUUAUUGAAUAUUUUAACUUGAUGAAAGCUUGGAAACAUUUUUUGUUAUCUCUUCUGGACAAGUUCAUAUAAACAACAAAUGAUUAAGUACAAUAUGUUUGUCCAGCUAAACCCUAAUCAGAGAGCAGACUUGUUGUUCAAAAUUCUGGUUAUUUCGUAAAAAUGUCACUAUAGAUCUCAAGAAAUGUUCGAAAUCAUAAAUAAAUACUCAAACUUCGUGAAAGAUCUCUGAACUUAAUCAUUUCUUGUGGUUUUUUUGUUUUUACAGAUUUUGCACUCAGUGACUCCCAUAUACUUUGGCUUGAAGACUAUCCGAAAAUAAUGCUUGCAUCUUUUUUACAAUUUAUAAAUUACCGAGGAGUGUUUGAUGACAAUUGUAAUCUUGUAACAAACUAUAUGGGAUUAAAGAGAAAUUUUAUCCCACGAUGCCUUAAACCACAGAACUUUAAAUAUUAUGCAAAGUUUAAGACAGUAUUAUCAACAUGAACUCAACGAUGAUACACAAACUAAAGAGAAUAAUAAAAUAAAAGGAAUUGGACAUUUUUAAAAGAAUUACAAACUAAAAUUCCCUUUUCUUCAGUACAAGAACCACUUAUGAACAAAUGCAUCGAUUUAAAACCAAAACCAAAGGC